rnacentral:rRNA from 1 species
GUCACGCCUAAACGAUGUCAACUGGUUGUUGGACGGCUUGCUGUUCAGUAACGAAGCUAACGCGUGAAGUUGACCGCCUGGGAGUACGGCCGCAAGGUUGAAACUCAAAGGAAUUGACGGGGACCCGGCACAAGCGGUGGAUGAUGUGGUUUAAUUCGAUGCAACGCGAAAACCUUAACCUACCCUUGACAUGCCAGAAAUCUUGCAGAGAUGUGAGAGUGCUCGAAAGAGAAUCUGGGCACAGGUGCUGCAUGGCCGUCGU